AUUUAUGGAGAGUUUGAUCCUGGCUCAGGACGAACGCUGGCGGCGUGCUUAACACAUGCAAGUCGAACGGUGAUGUCAGAGCUUGCUCUGGCGGAUCAGUGGCGAACGGGUGAGUAACACGUGAGUAACCUGCCCCCGACUCUGGGAUAACUGCUAGAAAUGGUAGCUAAUACCGGAUAUGACGAUUGGCCGCAUGGUCUGGUCGUGGAAAGAAUUUCGGUUGGGGAUGGACUCGCGGCCUAUCAGGUUGUUGGUGAGGUAAUGGCUCACCAAGCCUACGACGGGUAGCCGGCCUGAGAGGGUGACCGGCCACACUGGGACUGAGACACGGCCCAGACUCCUACGGGAGGCAGCAGUGGGGAAUAUUGCACAAUGGGCGAAAGCCUGAUGCAGCAACGCCGCGUGAGGGAUGACGGCCUUCGGGUUGUAAACCUCUUUUAGUAGGGAAGAAGCGAAAGUGACGGUACCUGCAGAAAAAGCACCGGCUAACUACGUGCCAGCAGCCGCGGUAAUACGUAGGGUGCAAGCGUUGUCCGGAAUUAUUGGGCGUAAAGAGCUCGUAGGCGGUUUGUCGCGUCUGCUGUGAAAUCCCGAGGCUCAACCUCGGGUCUGCAGUGGGUACGGGCAGACUAGAGUGCGGUAGGGGAGAUUGGAAUUCCUGGUGUAGCGGUGGAAUGCGCAGAUAUCAGGAGGAACACCGAUGGCGAAGGCAGAUCUCUGGGCCGUAACUGACGCUGAGGAGCGAAAGCAUGGGGAGCGAACAGGAUUAGAUACCCUGGUAGUCCAUGCCGUAAACGUUGGGAACUAGAUGUGGGGACCAUUCCACGGUCUCCGUGUCGCAGCUAACGCAUUAAGUUCCCCGCCUGGGGAGUACGGCCGCAAGGCUAAAACUCAAAGGAAUUGACGGGGGCCCGCACAAGCGGCGGAGCAUGCGGAUUAAUUCGAUGCAACGCGAAGAACCUUACCAAGGCUUGACAUAUACCGGAAACAUGCAGAGAUGUGUGCCCCGCAAGGUCGGUAUACAGGUGGUGCAUGGUUGUCGUCAGCUCGUGUCGUGAGAUGUUGGGUUAAGUCCCGCAACGAGCGCAACCCUCGUUCUAUGUUGCCAGCACGUAAUGGUGGGAACUCAUAGGAGACUGCCGGGGUCAACUCGGAGGAAGGUGGGGAUGACGUCAAAUCAUCAUGCCCCUUAUGUCUUGGGCUUCACGCAUGCUACAAUGGCCGGUACAAAGGGCUGCGAUACCGCAAGGUGGAGCGAAUCCCAAAAAGCCGGUCUCAGUUCGGAUUGAGGUCUGCAACUCGACCUCAUGAAGUCGGAGUCGCUAGUAAUCGCAGAUCAGCAACGCUGCGGUGAAUACGUUCCCGGGCCUUGUACACACCGCCCGUCAAGUCAUGAAAGUCGGUAACACCCGAAGCCAGUGGCCUAACCGCAAGGGAGGAGCUGUCGAAGGUGGGAUCGGUGAUUAGGACUAAGUCGUAACAAGGUAGCCGUACCGGAAGGUGCGGCUGGAUCACCUCCUUUCUAAGGA
rnacentral:rRNA from 1 species